UACGUAGGGUGCAAGCGUUAAUCGGAAUUACUGGGCGUAAAGCGUGCGCAGGCGGUUAUGUAAGACAGAUGUGAAAUCCCCGGGCUUAACCUGGGAAUGGCGAUGGAGACUGCAAGGCUAGAGUUUGGCAGAGGGGGGUAGAAUUCCACGUGUAGCAGUGAAAUGCGUAGAGAUGUGGAGGAACACCGAUGGCGAAGGCAGCCCCCUGGGUCAAAACUGACGCUCAUGCACGAAAGCGUGGGGAGCAAACAGG
rnacentral:rRNA from 1 species